UGGGUUGUGGCUCUGUGGUAGAGCGCUUGCCUAGCAUGCAUGGGGAGGCACUGGGUUUGAUCCUCAGCACCACAU
rnacentral:tRNA from 1 species